rnacentral:rRNA from 1 species
ACGGGUGAGUAAUGUCGUGGGAAACUGCCUGAUGGGAGGGGGAUAACUACUGGAAACGGUAGCUAAUACCGCAUAACGUCGAAGACCAAAGAGGGGGACCUUCGGGCCUCUUGCCAUCGGAUGUGCCCAGAUGGGAUUAGCUUGUUGGUGGGGUAAUGGCUCACCAAGGCGACGAUCCCUAGCUGGUCUGAGAGGAUGACCAGCCACACUGGAACUGAGACACGGUCCAGACUCCUACGGGAGGCAGCAUG